UAGGGAAUCUUCGGCAAUGGACGAAAGUCUGACCGAGCAACGCCGCGUGAGUGAAGAAGGUUUUCGGAUCGUAAAACUCUGUUGUUAGAGAAGAACAAGGACGUUAGUAACUGAACGUCCCCUGACGGUAUCUAACCAGAAAGCCACGGCUAACUACGUGCCAGCAGCCGCGGUAAUACGUAGGUGGCAAGCGUUGUCCGGAUUUGUUGGGCGUAAAGCGAGCGCAGGCGGUUUCUUAAGUCUGAUGUGAAAGCCCCCGGCUCGACCGGGGAGGGUCAUUGGAAACUGGGAGACUUGAGUGCAGAAGAGGAGAGUGGAAUUCCAUGUGUAGCGGUGAAAUGCGUAGAUAUAUGGAGGAACACCAGUGGCGAAGGCGGCUCUCUGGUCUGUAACUGACGCUGAGGCUCGAAAGCGUGGGGAGCAAACAGG
rnacentral:rRNA from 1 species